rnacentral:lncRNA from 1 species
ACAUUGGUUGACCCACCUAAAGGGGUUAAACUCGAGUCGAACUGAAUCUAAUUCAGUUAGACUUAUUCCAAAGCUUUUUACUCAAUCAAAUUAAGUCAAUUAGUAAUCUAAUUACUAAUUAAUUCUUCAUAAAUGAUAAAGUCUUAGUCCCAGUAGGACUCUCCCACAGAGUCCUAGUCCAAGUAGGACCUUCACCAAAGUCACAAUCCAAUUAGACUUUUCAGCCAUCAGAUCUGACCAAAUCUUCUGAAUGCAUGUGAUCCCAUAGGUCUGAACCUAAGUCGGUAGCAUAAGAAUAACUUUUUAUAUCAAUCAAUGUAACCAUCUAGCAAUGAUGACCCG